GCUAGGAUAGCUCAGUUGGUAGAGGAUGACACUAUUCAUCUCAGGAUUGUGGGUUCAAGCGCCACAUUGGGCA